rnacentral:rRNA from 1 species
AUUGAACGCUGGCGGCAGGCUUAACACAUGCAAGUCGAGCGGGGGAAGGUAGCUUGCUACUGGACCUAGCGGCGGACGGGUGAGUAAUGCUUAGGAAUCUGCCUAUUAGUGGGGGACAACAUCUCGAAAGGGAUGCUAAUACCGCAUACGUCCUACGGACGAAAGCAGGGGAGCUUCGGACCUUGCGCUAAUAGAUGAGCCUAAGUCGGAUUAGCUAGUUGGUGGGGGAAAGGCCUACCAAGGCGACGAUCUGAAGCGGGUCUGAGAGGAUGAGCCGCCAAACUGGGACUGAGACACGGCCCCGACGCCUACGGGAGGCAGCAGUGGGGAAUAUUGGACAAUGGGGGGAACCCUGAUCCAGCCAUGCCGCGUGUGUGAAGAAGGCCUUAUGGUUGUAAAGCACUUUAAGCGAGGAGGAGGCUACUCUAGUUAAUACCUAGGGAUAGUGGACGUUACUCGCAGAAUAAGCACCGGCUAACUCUGUGCCAGCCGCCGCAGUAA